rnacentral:lncRNA from 1 species
CUUAUUCUUUAAAAUCAUAAAACAAAUAUAAAUCACUUUAGAUAAUUAAGAUGAAUAUUUGAUUACUCACUAUAAUGGGAAUUUGUAGUGGUAGGAGUACUCCUAUUCUCGGUCCUCGGGCACAAUAUCUUUACCCUUAUAAGAGGGCUCACCACCUAUACAUAAUACACGACAUGUAAUUCAUUGUAUUUGUGCCAAAUUGUUAUAAAACUAUUUCAGGCUCUAUAUGAAUGUAUGACAUUGAAUGAGAAUUAUCCGAAUCAUCACUUAAAGACGAUGUUCUACGUGGGUUCAAUUAUGAUCGGACUGAAUUGGCAUUCGACCUAACUUGCACUAUGCCUUGUUUAAUUAGCCAAAACAUCCAAUUUAACUCCAAAUAUCUUCAUUACACUUCCAAUAUUUCAAAUACACCAAAGUACCUCAAUGAGCUUAAUUGUGACUUAAUUCACCGUAACCGAAAUUCAUUCCGAUUUCGAUAUCCGAUACCAUAAAUCAUCAAUUCCUAGCUAAAUAACAUGAAUUACAACCAAAUCCAUUAUCAACAUGCCUUAUAGAAAAUUCGGCCAAAUGAGAGUGGUUGAAGAACAUGUGAUUUUCUUGCUUGUUUUCCUUCCAAACAUCACAAAAUGACUAAAAACACUAAGGUAUUAUGGAAUCUAGCAAAAUUCAUCAUCAAAACUUCUCUCUCUAGAUUUGGCCAGCAAAGGUUCCCUCUUGAAAACUUGAAUUUCAGCCAUGGAGAAUGAAAAAGAAUGCAUGGGAAAGGUAGAUCACAAGCUAAAAUUAAAAAACUUUACCUUGCUUGAUUCCUUGAAAUCCAACAAUUUCUCUUGAAUUUUUCCUUCCUAGGGUUUGUUCUUCUCUUUUUCUCUUUGUUCCCUUGCUUGGCCGGC